AGGUUACUGCUAUCGAGGUUCGACUAAGCCAUGCGAGUCGAAUGUAGCAAUACAUGGCGUACUGCUCAGUAACACGUGGACAACCUACCCUGAGGUCGGGGAUAAACCCGGGAAACUGGGUAUAAUACCCGAUAGAUCUAGAUUGCUGGAAUGCUUUUAGGUCUAAAGUUCCGACGCCUCAGGAUGGGUCUGCGGCCUAUCAGGGUAGUAGUGGGUGUAAAGUACCUACUAGCCUACGACGGGUACGGGUUGUGAGAGCAAGAGCCCGGAGAUGGAUUCUGAGACACGAAUCCAGGCCCUACGGGGUGCAGCAGGCGCGAAACCUUUACAAUGCUGGCAACAGCGAUAAGGGGACCUCGAGUGCUACGAUACAAUCGUGGCUGUCUAGUUGCCUAAAAAGCAAUUGAUAGCAAGGGCCGGGCAAGACCGGUGCCAGCCGCCGCGGUAACACCGGCGGCUCGAGUGGUAACCGCUAUUAUUGGGUCUAAAGGGUCUGUAGCCGGCUUAGUUAGUCUCUUGAGAAAUCUGGCCGCUCAACGGUCAGGCGUUCAGGGGAUACUGCUAAAGCUCGAGACCGGGAGAGGUGAGAGGUACUUCAGGGGUAGGGGUGAAAUCUUGUAAUCCUUGAAGGACCACCAGUGGCGAAGGCGUCUCACCAGAACGGAUCUGACGGCAAGGGACGAAAGCUAGGGGCACGAACCGGAUUAGAUACCCGGGUAGUCCUAGCCGUAAACGAUACUCGCUAGGUGUCGGCCACGGUGCGACCGUUGUUGGUGCCGUAGGGAAGCCGUGAAGCGAGCCACCUGGGAAGUACGGCCGCAAGGCUGAAACUUAA
rnacentral:rRNA from 1 species